rnacentral:lncRNA from 1 species
AUGAUCAAGUUACAACCUAAGAUCUAUGACCAUAUUAUGCUAACUGUUCGUAUUUCGUUCAUUCCAUCGGUAUGCUCUCAGGUACCUGUAAUUGUGAUCUGUUUGCCAGAACCAAGGGGUCUUUCUGUGGAAACCUUCACGAACAAUCAUCGUUUUUUGAUGGUUUUUCCGCUUCUCACCGCUGCUCUUUCCACACCUCCGGAUAUCUGUUCGCGAAGAGGCUGGACGAGUGGAAUGAGGGAAAGCGGCUCGAUUGACAAAAAAGAAGAGUAG